GAUGAACGCUGGCGGCGUGCCUAAUACAUGCAAGUCGAGCGAACAGACGAGGAGCUUGCUCCUCUGACGUUAGCGGCGGACGGGUGAGUAACACGUGGAUAACCUACCUAUAAGACUGGGAUAACUUCGGGAAACCGGAGCUAAUACCGGAUAACAUGUUGAACCGCAUGGUUCAACAGUGAAAGACGGUCUUUCUGUCACUUAUAGAUGGAUCCGCGCCGCACUAGCUAGUUGGUAAGGUAACGGCUUACCAAGGCAACGAUGCGUAGCCGACCUGAGGGGGUGAUCGGCCACCCGGGAACUGAGACACGGUCCAGACUCCUACGGGAGGCAGCAGUCGGGAAUCUUCCGCAAAGGGCGAAAGCCUGACGGAGCAACGCCGCGUGAGUGAUGAAGGUCUUCGGAUCGUAAAACUCUGUUAUUAGGGAAGAACAAAUGUGUAAGUAACUAUGCACGUCUUGACGGUACCUAAUCAGAAAGCCACGGCUAACUACGUG
rnacentral:rRNA from 1 species